GCCCUUAUAGCUCAGUGGUAGAGCGCAUCACUAGUAAUGAUGAGGUCCUCUGUUCGAGUCAGGGUGAGGGCA
rfam:Rhizoctonia solani AG-1 IB, isolate 7/3/14, WGS project CAOJ01000000 data, contig: 16976